AAAUCUACAGCACGUCGUCAGAAGACGGUUGCAGCUAGUUCUUCUAGCAGCGAGGAGGACGUAUCCUUAGGUGCUGAUCACAGCGAGGAAUCUACGCCAACUUGUGAUGCUGCCUCUUCUAGCGCGGUUUCACAGCGCAGAAGCGGUGUGCCUUCACAGCGGGGUCAAUUCACCCGCAAGUACCAGGCACAAUGGAAGGAUGACCUCUCAAUGUUCACAAACAUUGAGGCUGCAAGGACUAUAACAUUGGCGUUUAAAUCGUCGAUGGAGAUUCCAUUGUUUCAAUGGAGCCAGGUUUCCAAACAUCCUGAGUGGAAACCUAAUAUCGAUGCAUGGUUUAAGCGAUUUCAGAACAAAUUUGAGUGGGAUAGGGCGGACAACAAUGUUGUGAGGAGGGUAUGGGAGAAUCACGCAGCAACUAGGUAACAUCGAAAAUAAUAUUUAUUUUUGUUUUAUAAUUUUAUGUUUUAAAUUCUAAUUUGUUACUAUGGAAGUAGGUUGCGUGAUUUUUGGUA